CUGCAGUGAUAACCACCACAAUGUGUAAGUAUGGGGUGGUCAGAUGGGAGAGAAAAAAGUGGAGCAUCUUGAGCAUUUAUGAAGAGAGAUGGAACUGGAGACUCAGGGUGGAGAGGCGGAGCCUCUUGUGAGUGGCCAACCCUGCCACCUGGGGUGAAGUCCUAACCUGCUCCGUGUCUAUGUAGCAGCUCAUAUUAACACUAGAGAACAUGAGGAUGUCUGUGCUCGCUGCGGCCGCUAGAGAACAUGAGGUCUGUGCUCGCUGCGGCCGCUGGGGACCACAAGCCCUGCACCUCACCUGGGCAAUACAGUGGAGCUGGCCCUGAUGACAAAUCACGGGCAAACCAACUGGCCCCGCCCCUCAUUGCCUGUCACGCUCUGGAGAACGGGCCCCACCUCUCACCGCGGCAGCCUUCCCGGAUAGCAGGUCCUGCGACAUACCCAGGCAUCACAGUGGAGCUGGCCUGGAGGCAGGGCCUUCAGCUGGCCGUGAGGACUUUCCCCACCUGCUGCCCUUGAACCACCCUUCUGGCAAGCACCCGGAGAUCCUGUUUUCUGUGCCAAGGAGCAAAAUUGCUUGGCAGCUUUUCUCUGAUACAUUGAGUGGUGAGCUCCUCAAAGACUGGUGCUAUCUUCUUCACAGGGGCCUUGGCUCACUGUUUACACCCCAAAUAGGCAAUGUAUGCUUCUGGAGUCAGCUGUAGACAAAGGCAGUGUCCUAGACUUGGGGACGGUGAGGCAGGUUUUAUUAGGGUGUGAGUUGGGGUAGAUUUCAAGAAAAAGUAAUAUGGACCGGGCUAGCAAGAUGGCCUGAUAGAUAAAGGUGCUUGUCAACAAGCCCACAAAGAUAAGAAGAGGGCAUCAGAUUCCCUGGCCUUGGAGCUACAGAUGGUUCUGAGUCACCACGUGGGUAUUUGGAAUCAAACAUGGGUCCUUUGAAAAAGCAGCCAGUAACUUCUGAGACUUCAGUGCGGUGGCAGGAGAAACUGGUUUCUGAGAGUUUCACCGGAAGAGGAUUCCUGACUCCUGAGACUUGUCCCCUGACAGAGACACUCAUGCAUAUAUACAGACAAAAUAGAUAAAAAAUAAAUUAGUAUGUUGAAAUACA